rnacentral:rRNA from 1 species
GACGUAGGGCGCGAGCGUUGUCCGGAUUUAUUGGGCGUAAAGAGCGUGUAGGCGGCCAGAUAAGUCCGCUGUGAAAUCUCGAGGCUCAACUUCGAGCUGUCGGUGGAAACUGUCUGGCUAGAGUCCGGAAGAGGAGAAUGGAAUUCCUGGUGUAGCGGUGAAAUGCGCAGAUAUCAGGAAGAACACCCGUGGCGAAGGCGGUUCUCUGGGACGGUACUGACGCUGAGACGCGAAAGCGUGGGGAGCAAACAGG